rnacentral:lncRNA from 1 species
GGCUGGAGUGCAAUGGCGCCAUCUCAGCUCACUGCAGUCUCCACCUCCUGGGUUAAAGCAAUUCUCCUGCCUCAGCCUCCCGACUAGCUGGGAUUACAGGCACCUGCCCCCAGGCCCGGCUAAUUUUUUGUAUUUUUAGUAGAGACAGGGUUUUGCCAUGCUGGCCAGGCUGGUCUCAAACUCCUGACCUCAGGUGAUCUGCCCGCCUCGGCCUCCCAAAGUAUUGGGAUUACAGGUGUGAGACACCGUGCCCGGCCUCUUUUUUUUUUUUCUUUUGAGACAGGAUCUCACUCUGUCACCCAGGCUGGAGUGCAGUGGCACAAUCAUGGCUCACUGCAGCCUUAACUGCCCAAGACCAAGCAAUCCUCCCACCUCAGCCUCCAGAGUGGCCAGGACUACAGUUGGUUGAAUCCACAGAUGCAGAAUCCGCAGAUAGAGGUGGCUGACUGUCCUUUUAUGAAUUAAUUGCUCAUAUGCCUUGAUAGAUGCAUGAGAAGAAAGGAUACUUUAUAAGGUAUGGACUAACAACACUCUAUGUGGCCUAAAAACCAACCAAAUCAAGUUUCUAUCAAGGCAGAAGAGGCAGGACAGCCAAGGAAUUGAGCAUAAAGGACACUCUACUGUGAGAGCUAGCCUUGAUUUGACAUGUGUCAGGAAACAUACGACCUCAAACAAUCUUCAUACACAAUGAAGAGAUAUAAGAAGAUUUGGUAAUCCAGGAAGUCUCGAAAGUUCUUCAGAAAUGUUUAACCUAUUUCAAAAAUUUUCAUUACUCUGCGCACACUAUUCCUCAUUACAGAAAGUGCUCAAUAAACUUCUGUAUGCUCCUAUUACUA